GUAGGGAAUAUUGGGCAAUGGAGGCAACUCUGACCCAGCCAUGCCGCGUGCAGGAUGACGGCCCUCUGGGUUGUAAACUGCUUUUAUACGGGAAGAAAAAAUACUACGUGUAGUAUACUGACGGUACCGUAAGAAUAAGGAUCGGCUAACUCCGUGCCAGCAGCCGCGGUAAUACGGAGGAUCCAAGCGUUGUCCGGAUUUAUUGGGUUGAAAGGGUGCGUAGGCGGAUCGUUAAGUCAGUGGUGAAAGCCUGCAGCUUAACUGUAGAAUUGCCAUUGAAACUGAAGAUCUUGAAUGUGGUUAAAGUAGGCGGAAUGUAUCAUGUAGCGGUGAAAUGCUUAGAUAUGAUACAGAACACCGAUAGCGAAGGCAGCUUGCUGAACCAUUAUUGACGCUGAGGCACGAAAGCGUGGGGAGCGAACAGGAUUAGAUACCCGAGUAGUCC
rnacentral:rRNA from 1 species